UACAGAGGGUGCGAGCGUUGUCCGGAAUCACUGGGCGUAAAGGGCGCGUAGGCGGCGCGGUAAGCGUGCGGUGAAAGCCCGGGGCUCAACCCCGGGUCGGCCGUGCGGACUGCCGGGCUGGAGCACUGUAGAGGCAGGUGGAAUUCCGGGUGUAGCGGUGGAAUGCGUAGAGAUCCGGAAGAACACCGAUGGCGAAGGCAGCCCCCUGGGCUAACACUGACGCUCAUGCACGAAAGCGUGGGGAGCAAACAGG
rnacentral:rRNA from 1 species